AUUGAACGCUGGCGGCAGGCCUAACACAUGCAAGUCGAACGAGUGGCGGACGGGUGAGUAAUGUCUGGGAAACUGCCUGAUGGAGGGGGAUAACUACUGGAAACGGUAGCUAAUACCGCAUACCAUCGGAUGUGCCCAGAUGGGAUUAGCUAGUAGGUGGGGUAACGGCUCACCUAGGCGACGAUCCCUAGCUGGUCUGAGAGGAUGACCAGCCACACUGGAACUGAGACACGGUCCAGACUCCUACGGGAGGCAGCAGUGGGGAAUAUUGCACAAUGGAGGGAACUCUGAUGCAGCGACGCCGCGUGAACGAAGAAGGCUUUCGAGUCGUAAAGUUCUUUUAUAUGGGAAGCGGUACCAUAAGAAAAAGCCCCGGCUAACUACGUGCCAGCAGCCGCGGUAAUAC
rnacentral:rRNA from 1 species